rnacentral:rRNA from 1 species
AGGACGAACGCUGGCGGCGUGCUUAACACAUGCAAGUCGAGCGGUAAGGCCCUUUCGGGGGUACACGAGCGGCGAACGGGUGAGUAACACGUGAGCAACCUGCCCUUCACUUCGGGAUAAGCCUCGGAAACGGGGUCUAAUACCGGAUAUGACCGCGCUACGCAUGUGGUGUGGUGGAAAGUUCUGGCGGUGGAGGAUGAGCUCGCGGCCUAUCAGCUUGUUGGUGGGGUAAUGGCCUACCAAGGCUUCGACGGGUAGCCGGCCUGAGAGGGUGACCGGGCCACGACCUGGGACUGAGACACGGCCCAGACUCCUACGGGAGGCAGCAGUGGGGAAUAUUGGACAAUGGGCGAAAGCCUGAUCCAGCAACGCCGCGUGAGGGAUGACGGCCUUCGGGUGUAAACCUCUUUCAGCGCCGACGAAGCGAGAGUGACGGUAGGCGCAGAAGAAGCACGCCAACACGUAGCCAGCAGCCGC